UACACGACUCUCGGCAACGGAUAUCUCGGCUCUCGCAUCGAUGAAGAACGUAGCGAAAUGCGAUACCUGGUGUGAAUUGCAGAAUCCCGCGAACCAUCGAGUCUUUGAACGCAAGUUGCGCCCGAGGCCAUUCGGCCGAGGGCACGCCUGCCUGGGCGUCACG
rnacentral:rRNA from 2 species